rnacentral:rRNA from 1 species
UACCAGCACCCCGAGUAGUCGGGACGAUUAUUGGGCCUAAAGCAUCCGUAGCCGGUUCUACAAGUCUUCCGUUAAAUCCACCUGCUUAACAGAUGGGCUGCGGAGGAUACUAUAGAGCUAGGAGGCGGGAGAGGCAAGCGGUACUUAGUGGGUAGGGGUAAAAUCCGUUGAUCCAUUGAAGACCACCAGUGGCGAAGGCGGCUUGCCAGAACGCACUCGACGGUGAGGGAUGAAAGCUGGGGGAGCAAACCGG